rnacentral:rRNA from 1 species
GACGAACGCUGGCGGCGUGCCUAAUACAUGCAAGUCGAGCGGACUUAAAAAGCUUGCUUUUUAAGUUAGCGGCGGACGGGUGAGUAACACGUGGGCAACCUGCCUGUAAGACUGGGAUAACUUCGGGAAACCGGAGCUAAUACCGGAUAAUCCUUUUCUACUCAUGUAGAAAAGCUGAAAGACGGUUUACGCUGUCACUUACAGAUGGGCCCGCGGCGCAUUAGCUAGUUGGUGAGGUAACGGCUCACCAAGGCGACGAUGCGUAGCCGACCUGAGAGGGUGAUCGGCCACACUGGGACUGAGACACGGCCCAGACUCCUACGGGAGGCAGCAGUAGGGAAUCUUCCGCAAUGGACGAAAGUCUGACGGAGCAACGCCGCGUGAGUGAUGAAGGUUUUCGGAUCGUAAAACCCUGUUGUUAGGGAAGAACAAGUACGAGAGUAACUGCUCGUACCUUGACGGUACCUAACCAGAAAGCCACGGCUAACUACGUG